rnacentral:lncRNA from 1 species
AAAACCCACAGAACCAACACGCGAAAAAAUAAUUCACUAAGAGAAAAGAUUACAAGGUGAUUACCGACUCCACGGACUUAACCUUUCUUAACCUCCUAUGAAUCUCGCGCAAUCCUCCGGGUUGUCCACGCCCUCACGUUCGAAUCCACGAACGCCUCGCACACGUUCGAAUCCACGAACGUCACUCGAAUCCACGAGCCCACGAUCCGAAUCCACGAACCGCCGUCAAACACGCCGAAUCCACGACGCCAUCAUGAAGAACAUCAUGAGUAUGGUGA